GACGAACGCUGGCGGCGUGCUUAACACAUGCAAGUCGAACGGUGAAAGCGGAGCUUGCUCCGCUGGAUCAGUGGCGAACGGGUGAGUAACACGUGGGCAACCUGCCCCUCACUUCGGGAUAACUCCGGGAAACCGGGGCUAAUACCGGAUAUGACCUCCUUGGGCAUCCUUGGAGGUGGAAAGUUUUUCGGUGAGGGAUGGGCCCGCAGCCUAUCAGCUUGUUGGUGAGGUAGUGGCUCACCAAGGCGACGACGGGUAGCCGGCCUGGGAGGGCGACCGGCCACACUGGGACGGAGACACGCUCCAGACUCCUACGGGAGGCAGCAGUGGGGAAUAUUGCGCAAUGGGCGAAAGCCUGACGCAGCAACGCCGCGUGCGGGAUGACGGCCUUCGGGUUGUAAACCGCUUUCAGCAGGGAAGAAGCCGCAAGGUGACGGUACCUGCAGAAGAAGCACCGGCUAACUACGUGCCAGCCGCCGCGGUAA
rnacentral:rRNA from 1 species